UACGUAGGGUGCGAGCGUUAUCCGGAAUUAUUGGGCGUAAAGAGCUCGUAGGCGGUUUGUCACGUCGGAUGUGAAAGCCCGGGGCUUAACCCCGGGUCUGCAUUCGAUACGGGCAGACUGGAGUGUGGUAGGGGAGAUCGGAAUUCCUGGUGUAGCGGUGAAAUGCGCAGAUAUCAGGAGGAACACCGGUGGCGAAGGCGGAUCUCGUGGGCCAUUACUGACGCUGAGGAGCGAAAGCGUGGGGAGCGAACAGG
rnacentral:rRNA from 1 species